rnacentral:rRNA from 1 species
GACGAACGCUGGCGGCGUGCUUAACACAUGCAAGUCGAACGGAGUGGCGAACGGGUGAGUAACACGUGGGUGACCUGCCCUGCACUUCGGGAUAAGCCUGGGAAACUGGGUCUAAUACUGGAUAGUGUGGGAUGGGCGCGCGGCCUAUCAGCUUGUUGGUGGGGUAAUGGCCUACGAAGCCGGCGCCGGGUAGCCGGCCUGAGGGGGUGGACGGCCACAUUGGGCCUAAGAGACGGACCAGAGUCCUACGGGAGGCAGCGGGGGGAAAUAUUGCACAGUGGUGCGAAGCCUGAUGCAGCGGCGUCGGGUGGGGAAGGACGGCCUUCGGGUUGUAAACUCCUUUCACCAUAUACGCGGUAGAUGGAGAAGAAGCACCGGCUAACUACGUGCCAGCAGCCGCGGUAAUAC